rnacentral:rRNA from 1 species
CCUACGGGUGGCAGCAGUGGGGAAUAUUGCACAAUGGGCGCAAGCCUGAUGCAGCCAUGCCGCGUGUGUGAAGAAGGCCUUCGGGUUGCAAAGCACUUUCAGCGGGGAGGAAGGCGGUGAGGUUAAUAACCUCAUCGAUUGACGUUACCCGCAGAAGAAGCACCGGCUAACUCCGUGCCAGCAGCCGCGGUAAUACGGAGGGUGCAAGCGUUAAUCGGAAUUACUGGGCGUAAAGCGCACGCAGGCGGUCUGUCAAGUCGGAUGUGAAAUCCCCGGGCUCAACCUGGGAACUGCAUUCGAAACUGGCAGGCUAGAGUCUUGUAGAGGGGGGUAGAAUUCCAGGUGUAGCGGUGAAAUGCGUAGAGAUCUGGAGGAAUACCGGUGGCGAAGGCGGCCCCCUGGACAAAGACUGACGCUCAGGUGCGAAAGCGUGGGGAGCAAACAGGAUUAGAUACCCUAGUAGUC